GGCGGCGUGCUUAACACAUGCAAGUCGAACGAUGAUGCCCAGCUUGCUGGGCGGAUUAGUGGCGAACGGGUGAGUAAUACGUGAGUAACCUGCCCUUGACUCUGGGAUAAGCCUGGGAAACUGGGUCUAAUACUGGAUACUACCUCUUGCCGCAUGGUGGGUGGUGGAAAGGGUUUUACUGGUUUUGGAUGGGCUCACGGCCUAUCAGCUUGUUGGUGGGGUAAUGGCUCACCAAGGCGACGACGGGUAGCCGGCCUGAGAGGGUGACCGGCCACACUGGGACUGAGACACGGCCCAGACUCCUACGGGAGGCAGCAGUGGGGAAUAUUGCACAAUGGGCGGAAGCCUGAUGCAGCGACGCCGCGUGAGGGAUGACGGCCUUCGGGUUGUAAACCUCUUUCAGUAGGGAAGAAGCGAGAGUGACGGUACCUGCAGAAGAAGCGCCGGCUAACUACGUGCCAGCAGCCGCGGUAAUACGUAGGGCGCAAGCGUUGUCCGGAAUUAUUGGGCGUAAAGAGCUCGUAGGCGGUUUGUCGCGUCUGCUGUGAAAGCCCGGGGCUCAACCCCGGGUCUGCAGUGGGUACGGGCAGACUAGAGUGCAGUAGGGGAGACUGGAAUUCCUGGUGUAGCGGUGAAAUGCGCAGAUAUCAGGAGGAACACCGAUGGCGAAGGCAGGUCUCUGGGCUGUUACUGACGCUGAGGAGCGAAAGCAUGGGGAGCGAACAGGAUUAGAUACCCUGGUAGUCCAUGCCGUAAACGUUGGGCACUAGGUGUGGGGGACAUUCCACGUUUUCCGCGCCGUAGCUAACGCAUUAAGUGCCCCGCCUGGGGAGUACGGCCGCAAGGCUAAAACUCAAAGGAAUUGACGGGGGCCCGCACAAGCGGCGGAGCAUGCGGAUUAAUUCGAUGCAACGCGAAGAACCUUACCAAGGCUUGACAUUCACCGGACCGCCCCAGAGAUGGGGUUUCCCUUCGGGGCUGGUGGACAGGUGGUGCAUGGUUGUCGUCAGCUCGUGUCGUGAGAUGUUGGGUUAAGUCCCGCAACGAGCGCAACCCUCGUUCUAUGUUGCCAGCACGUGAUGGUGGGGACUCAUAGGAGACUGCCGGGGUCAACUCGGAGGAAGGUGGGGAUGACGUCAAAUCAUCAUGCCCCUUAUGUCUUGGGCUUCACGCAUGCUACAAUGGCCGGUACAAAGGGUUGCGAUACUGUGAGGUGGAGCUAAUCCCAAAAAGCCGGUCUCAGUUCGGAUUGAGGUCUGCAACUCGACCUCAUGAAGUCGGAGUCGCUAGUAAUCGCAGAUCAGCAACGCUGCGGUGAAUACGUUCCCGGGCCUUGUACACACCGCCCGUCAAGUCACGAAAGUUGGUAACACCCGAAAGCCGGUGGCCUAACCCCCUUGUGGGAAGGGAGUCCGUCAAAGGUGGGAACUGGGCGAUUGGGAACU
rnacentral:rRNA from 1 species